GUGCUCGCUUUGGCAGCACAUAUACUAAAAUUGGAAUGAUACAGAGAAGAUCAGCAUGGCCCAGUACAAGGAUGACAUGAAAAUUUGUGAAGUGCUCCAUAUUUUU